UUAAGCGACUAAGCGUACACGGUGGAUGCCCUGGCAGUCAGAGGCGAUGAAGGACGUGCUAAUCUGCGAUAAGCGUCGGUAAGGUGAUAUGAACCGUUAUAACCGGCGAUUUCCGAAUGGGGAAACCCAGUGUGUUUCGACACACUAUCAUUAACUGAAUCCAUAGGUUAAUGAGGCGAACCGGGGGAACUGAAACAUCUAAGUACCCCGAGGAAAAGAAAUCAACCGAGAUUCCCCCAGUAGCGGCGAGCGAACGGGGAGGAGCCCAGAGCCUGAAUCAGUGUGUGUGUUAGUGGAAGCGUCUGGAAAGGCGCGCGAUACAGGGUGACAGCCCCGUACACAAAAAUGCACAUGCUGUGAGCUCGAUGAGUAGGGCGGGACACGUGGUAUCCUGUCUGAAUAUGGGGGGACCAUCCUCCAAGGCUAAAUACUCCUGACUGACCGAUAGUGAACCAGUACCGUGAGGGAAAGGCGAAAAGAACCCCGGCGAGGGGAGUGAAAAAGAACCUGAAACCGUGUACGUACAAGCAGUGGGAGCCUCUUAAUGGGGUGACUGCGUACCUUUUGUAUAAUGGGUCAGCGACUUAUAUUCUGUAGCAAGGUUAACCGAAUAGGGGAGCCGAAGGGAAACCGAGUCUUAACUGGGCGUUAAGUUGCAGGGUAUAGACCCGAAACCCGGUGAUCUAGCCAUGGGCAGGUUGAAGGUUGGGUAACACUAACUGGAGGACCGAACCGACUAAUGUUGAAAAAUUAGCGGAUGACUUGUGGCUGGGGGUGAAAGGCCAAUCAAACCGGGAGAUAGCUGGUUCUCCCCGAAAGCUAUUUAGGUAGCGCCUCGUGAAUUCAUCUCCGGGGGUAGAGCACUGUUUCGGCAAGGGGGUCAUCCCGACUUACCAACCCGAUGCAAACUGCGAAUACCGGAGAAUGUUAUCACGGGAGACACACGGCGGGUGCUAACGUCCGUCGUGAAGAGGGAAACAACCCAGACCGCCAGCUAAGGUCCCAAAGUCAUGGUUAAGUGGGAAACGAUGUGGGAAGGCCCAGACAGCCAGGAUGUUGGCUUAGAAGCAGCCAUCAUUUAAAGAAAGCGUAAUAGCUCACUGGUCGAGUCGGCCUGCGCGGAAGAUGUAACGGGGCUAAACCAUGCACCGAAGCUGCGGCAGCGACACUAUGUGUUGUUGGGUAGGGGAGCGUUCUGUAAGCCUGUGAAGGUGGCCUGUGAGGGUUGCUGGAGGUAUCAGAAGUGCGAAUGCUGACAUAAGUAACGAUAAAGCGGGUGAAAAGCCCGCUCGCCGGAAGACCAAGGGUUCCUGUCCAACGUUAAUCGGGGCAGGGUGAGUCGACCCCUAAGGCGAGGCCGAAAGGCGUAGUCGAUGGGAAACAGGUUAAUAUUCCUGUACUUGGUGUUACUGCGAAGGGGGGACGGAGAAGGCUAUGUUGGCCGGGCGACGGUUGUCCCGGUUUAAGCGUGUAGGCUGGUUUUCCAGGCAAAUCCGGAAAACCAAGGCUGAGGCGUGAUGACGAGGCACUACGGUGCUGAAGUGACAAAUGCCCUGCUUCCAGGAAAAGCCUCUAAGCAUCAGGUAACAUCAAAUCGUACCCCAAACCGACACAGGUGGUCAGGUAGAGAAUACCAAGGCGCUUGAGAGAACUCGGGUGAAGGAACUAGGCAAAAUGGUGCCGUAACUUCGGGAGAAGGCACGCUGAUAUGUAGGUGAAGCGACUUGCUCGUGGAGCUGAAAUCAGUCGAAGAUACCAGCUGGCUGCAACUGUUUAUUAAAAACACAGCACUGUGCAAACACGAAAGUGGACGUAUACGGUGUGACGCCUGCCCGGUGCCGGAAGGUUAAUUGAUGGGGUUAGCGGUAACGCGAAGCUCUUGAUCGAAGCCCCGGUAAACGGCGGCCGUAACUAUAACGGUCCUAAGGUAGCGAAAUUCCUUGUCGGGUAAGUUCCGACCUGCACGAAUGGCGUAAUGAUGGCCAGGCUGUCUCCACCCGAGACUCAGUGAAAUUGAACUCGCUGUGAAGAUGCAGUGUACCCGCGGCAAGACGGAAAGACCCCGUGAACCUUUACUAUAGCUUGACACUGAACAUUGAGCCUUGAUGUGUAGGAUAGGUGGGAGGCUUUGAAGUGUGGACGCCAGUCUGCAUGGAGCCGACCUUGAAAUACCACCCUUUAAUGUUUGAUGUUCUAACGUUGGCCCCUAAUCGGGGUUGCGGACAGUGUCUGGUGGGUAGUUUGACUGGGGCGGUCUCCUCCUAAAGAGUAACGGAGGAGCACGAAGGUUGGCUAAUCCUGGUCGGACAUCAGGAGGUUAGUGCAAUGGCAUAAGCCAGCUUGACUGCGAGCGUGACGGCGCGAGCAGGUGCGAAAGCAGGUCAUAGUGAUCCGGUGGUUCUGAAUGGAAGGGCCAUCGCUCAACGGAUAAAAGGUACUCCGGGGAUAACAGGCUGAUACCGCCCAAGAGUUCAUAUCGACGGCGGUGUUUGGCACCUCGAUGUCGGCUCAUCACAUCCUGGGGCUGAAGUAGGUCCCAAGGGUAUGGCUGUUCGCCAUUUAAAGUGGUACGCGAGCUGGGUUUAGAACGUCGUGAGACAGUUCGGUCCCUAUCUGCCGUGGGCGCUGGAGAACUGAGGGGGGCUGCUCCUAGUACGAGAGGACCGGAGUGGACGUAUCACUGGUGUUCGGGUUGUCAUGCCAAUGGCACUGCCCGGUAGCUAAAUGCGGAAGAGAUAAGUGCUGAAAGCAUCUAAGCACGAAACUUGCCCCGAGAUGAGUUCUCCCUGAGACUUAGAGUCUCCUGAAGGAACGUUGAAGACGACGACGUUGAUAGGCCGGGUGUGUAAGCGCAGCGAUGCGUUGAGCUAACCGGUACUAAUGAACCGUGAGGCUUAACCUU
rnacentral:rRNA from 3 species